rnacentral:rRNA from 1 species
GACGACGCUGGCGGCGUGGAUUAGGCAUGCAAGUCGAACGGUAUCAUCCUUUCGGGGGUGAGAGAGUGGCGAACUGGUGAGUAACACGUAGGUUAUCUACCCUCAAGACGGGGACAACCCAGGGAAAACUUGGGCUAAUACCGGAUGUGAGCAACUUUAGUUGUUGAAAGGUGGCGUAAGCUGUCGCUUGGGGAUGAGCCUGCGUCCUAUUAGUUAGUUGGUGAGGUAACGGCUCACCUAGGCAAUGAUAGGUAGGCGGCCUUAACGGGUGGUCGCCCACACUGGGAUUGAGAUACGGCCCAGACUCCUACGGGAGGCAGCAGUCGAGAAUAGUCUACAAUGGUCGGAAGACUGAUAGUGCGACGCCGCGUGAACGAUGAAUCCCUUCGGGGUGUAAAGUUCUUUUAUAUGUGAGCAGUGCUUCUUAUAUUAACAGUAUGGGGAGAGAGAUAUUAGCAUAUGAAUAAGCAACGGCUAACUCCGUG